GAUCGAUUGGUUUUUAUUUUUAAGCCUUUUUGGUUUACUCAAUUUUAUAGAGAGUUUCUUUUCGAUAAGGGAUUUUAGUCAGUAGGCGAUAGCCGUUUAGAUCUCUCUAAAACUAUAUGAAUUUCUUGUAUUCUCUCUCAUUAAGACUAGUGUGAUGGGUGGUGGAAGGCAGCGAUUCUUCUCUCCUUUCUCUUCCCUACCCGUUUCCUUCUCAACGGGUCAGAGUUGUUCAAAA
rnacentral:misc_RNA from 1 species